UUAUUAACUCUUUAAAAAACCCCCCACAAGCCAUCACCUCGUGGGUACCAUGGCUGAAUUCAUCUUCAAAAUCGAUUGCAACGGUGCGGCAUUGGUGGAUUCGUGAAACCACAAAGUGGGGAGAACCAUAGAAGAUCAAUUCUACUUGGGCUUUGUCUCUUUAAAGAAUGCUUGGGGGAGGUUUGAUAUUGUGGGUCUUCUAAGAUAGAAGUUCAAUAGCAGUUUUGGGUAUAUGGGGACAACCAAAGAUGCAAUGGGCAUAGAUUAUGAAUCAAUCUUUUGCUGUGAUGUUAACAACCACACCAUUGUUCAAAUGAACUCACAAUACACCGGUGCCACGAGUACACAAUUGAAGAGCUCAUCACAAAGAGCUUCAACAACGUUGACACUGUCCUCUUUAGCAAUCAGAUUGGCCAGAUGAAUAUGGAGAAAGGUACAUCAUGGACAACAGUACUUAAUCUUUCUCCCUCUCUCUUUGGUAUUGGAACACCAAUGUUUCAUUUUUUUUUUUUUUUUUUCCUUUUGGGUUUUCAAUUCUGGCAGAUUAUUAUUGGAACACCCGUGUUUGAAGAAAUGCUUAAACUGAACUUUGGAUCAGAUGUGUGGCACCCAAUUGUUUAUGCACGCACUAUGCUAUUUACAGAUUUCUUUUAAAUUUUGUUGUGCAUUGUGAUAUCAAUAUUUGGUUAAGAUUAAUACUUUGAAAUAGAUUCUCAUGUUGUUGUUGCUUUAUGGUUAGAUACAUAAUUUGGAUCUAUGUAACUUUCUUCCUACCAGAUAGUUAGAUACUCUUUUUUUUUUUGGGUAAAAAUGUCCACACCCUGCUGUUGUUAAUUAGUCAUAAAGUUAAUUAAGCUAUUUGUGUCUUAGUGAGAAGAACAUGUAUUUUCAUGUUCUAUGGUUCUAUCUACCAAAUUACUCUCAGUUCUUGGUUUGCAAAAGUCUGAUUGCAAAAUUAAGAUUAGGGCUCCUAUAGAAAAGACAGUAACAAUGUGCCAUUUUUCCAGGGCUUUCUGCCAUGGAAGCUUAUGCUGCUAUGCAAAGGGUUCACCCAAUGAAAUUUGGAUUUCAUUAGCAUAUCAAUUUCAGUUUGAGUCCGACAAAAUCUUUAUUCAAAAUUUCCACAUUUUCCCUCCUUUCAAUGAGUUCAUCCUUCAAUUGAUUGAUCUCACUUUGCAAAGCCAUCUCAUGGGCAACAUGCAAACCUUUCAGUUCUACUUUCUCAGCCUUAGAUUGCCUUAUUUCUUUUUCUAAUGAUCCACUUCUCAAUUCCCAUUCUUUGGGCAUAGCAUCAAACAAGGUCUUCUUUUCUGACAAACUUGAAAUAUCAGAUUGCAUUUGUACCUUCUCCCUAGAGAAUUGUUCUUGGACAUCACGCAAUGAGGUGGUCAGAGUAACCUAAGAGUUUUGACAAAAAUUUCUUCUUUCUAAUAAUUUUAGUGUCUAAAGAGAAGUUAUAUUUAGGAUUUUGUAGAAUUUUUUUGUUAUUUCUAUAAUCCUAUUUGAUAACAAGCCAUUGAUGAAUUUGGGAUCUAGAGUAACCUAAGAGUUUCAACUAGGGGCUAAAACUUAUUGACUAUUGGUCCAUUAAAAAAUAUAAUGGAGUGUUUCUGUAAUUUGGUUUUAGGAUUAUUUGGUUUACUGUUUAAUAUAAUUGAGAUUUUGACGUAAGAUUCCUAGGUUGGAGUUAUCAUUUUUUGUACAAUAUGGAAAAUCACUUGAUGAUGACCUUUUUAAGCUGGCAACAACAUGGUACAAUGUUAUUUUCUUCUACUUCCAACAGAGAGUAACUAGCUUAAAUUUUUUUUUUUUUUUAAGUAAUAAGAAUUUUUUAAAAAGAAGAGGGGUGUCACCUGAGUAUACAGGAAGUAUACAUCAAGGACAAAUACAAAUCAAGUGCAUAAAGUACAAAAGUCCAUGAAACCAUGGACUGAAGAAAAAGAACGAAAGCCAAACACUGUAACCCAAUCUAGAAGAGUUUUAAGGUAGAAGAGUUUAAGAUCUGCAACUGAUCUCUCUAAAUCCUCAAAAUGCCGGUUAUUCCUCUCCCUCCAAAUGCACCACAUCAAACAAUGGGCACAGCCAUCCAAAUGGUUGAAUUCUGAUGCCUCCCCAACUUUCCUUGCCAACAAGCCAACAGAUCCACCACUGUUUUCGGCAUAACCCAAUGAAUGCCAAACAGAGUAAACACCAUAGACCAUAAAUGAAAAGCAAUAGAGCAAUGGAUAAAGAGGUGGUCAACAGAUUCCUCAUUUCUUUUACACAUACAACACCAAUCCAAAAUCAAAAUCUGCCGUUUCCUAAGAUUAUCAAUAGACAAAAUAUUCCUUAAAGCUGCAGUCCACACAAAAAAGGGAGUUAUUAAGACCUGAAAUUUCAAGGAAGAAACUGAAAAACACAAGGAACUAAUUUUCUAUAAAAUUUGAUGUGAUUCAAAGAUUGUUUGUUUGGUUAAAGAAUUGAAGUUUAGCACUGAACUUUGAGUGAGUUGAAAUAUGAGGCAAGAAUGAGCUUUUGGUAUGAAAUUUGGUGUGACAACAUCUCUCAUACUGAAUCUAAACAUGUAAAAGGGGUUUAAGUAUUUUGUAGUGUAACAUAAUCUAUUUAUGCUUUUCAAUUCAUGUUUACUAUUUUAAGUCAUGAUAUUCGGUCACCUGGCAUAAAGGAAAAAAAAAAAAA